rnacentral:rRNA from 1 species
GACGAACGCUGGCGGCGCGCCUAACACAUGCAAGUCGAACGGAGCUGCGAGAAGCUUGCUUUUCUUAGCUUAGUGGCGAACGGGUGAGUAACGCGUGAGUAACCUGCCCUGGAGUGGGGGACAACAGUUGGAAACGACUGCUAAUACCGCAUAAGCCCACGAUCCGGCAUCGGCUUGAGGGAAAAGGAUUUAUUCGCUUCAGGAUGGACUCGCGUCCAAUUAGCUAGUUGGUGAGGUAACGGCCCACCAAGGCGACGAUUGGUAGCCGGACUGAGAGGUUGAACGGCCACAUUGGGACUGAGACACGGCCCAGACUCCUACGGGAGGCAGCAGUGGGGGAUAGUGCACAAUGGGGGAAACCCUGAUGCAGCGACGCCGCGUGGAGGAAGAAGGUUUUCGGAUUGUAAACUCCUGUCGUUAGGGACGAUAAUGACGGUACCUAACAAGAAAGCACCGGCUAACUACGUG